GUGAGGGGCUGGGCGAAAGGAAGGAGGGGAGGGGACUGGGGGGGGGGACGCGCGCCCCAGGAGCGAAAGCAAACUGCUAGCUGCAGAGGCGCUGCCGCAGUUCAGGCUUCCCAACAGGUUAGCUAGCCUAGGAUCCACCCGGUAUGUCGCAGGAGGUGGGGGGGCGUUGAGAGAGCUAGAGGAGGAGAAGCCUUCCUGGAGGACAGAGGGAGGGAGAGAAAGAG
rnacentral:lncRNA from 1 species